rnacentral:rRNA from 1 species
AUGCAGGGGACUGCGUCUUCAGAUUCUCAGGGUCCGGUCAUAGUGGCUUCAAGCUUUAUUUUUAACCUUCUUGCAGUAAUGGAUAAUUACAAGAACAUUCCUCAAUUCCUCUAUGGCUUAAGCCCAUCUCAGAUGGAAAUGUUUAAAACUGAUGACAACCCUUAUAAUGAGCAAUAUUGCGAGAUGUUGGUUGCCUUUUAG